rnacentral:miRNA from 10 species
CCGGACUAAAUGACCAAAGUCA